rnacentral:rRNA from 1 species
GAUCUUGGUUCAGGAUGAACGCUGGCGGCGUGCCUAACACAUGCAAGUCGAGCGAUUACUUCGGUAAAGAGCGGCGGACGGGUGAGUAACGCGUGGGUAACCUGCCUCAUACACAUGGAUAACAUACCGAAAGGUAUGCUAAUACAGGAUAAUAUAAGAGAUUCACAUGGAUUUUUUAUCAAAGCUCCGGCGGUAUGAGAUGGACCCGCGUCUGAUUAGCUAGUUGGUAAGGUAAUGGCUUACCAGGGCGACGAUCAGUAGCCGACCUGAGAGGGUGAUCGGCCACAUUGGAACUGAGACACGGUCCAAACUCCUACGGGAGGCAGCAGUGGGGAAUAUUGCACAAUGGGCGAAAGCCUGAUGCCAGCAACGCCGCGUGAGUGAUGAAGGCCUUCGGGUCGUAAAACUCUGUCCUCAAGGAAGAUAAUGACGGUACUUGAGGAGGAAGCCCCGGCUAACUACGUGCCAGCCGCUGC